GUCGAGAAUAAUUCACAAUGGACGAAAGUCUGAUGGUGCAACGCCGCGUGGAGGAUGACGGUCUUCGGAUUGUAAACUCCUGUCAUCCGGGAGUAAGACCUGGCUGUGAAUAGCAGACAGGGUUGAUAGUACCGGAAGAGGAAGGGACGGCUAACUUCGUGCCAGCAGCCGCGGUAAUACGAAGGUCCCGAGCGUUGUUCGGAAUCACUGGGCGUAAAGGGAGCGUAGGCGGCGUGGUAAGUCAGAUGUGAAAUCCCGGGGCUCAACCCCGGAACUGCAUCCGAUACUGCCGUGCUAGAGGAUUGGAGAGGUAGCUGGAAUUCUUGGUGUAGCAGUGAAAUGCGUGGAGAUCAAGAGGAACACUCGUGGCGAAAGCGAGCUACUGGACAAUAUCUGACGCUGAGGCUCGAAGGCCAGGGUAGCGAAAGGGAUUAGAAACCCUGUAGUCC
rnacentral:rRNA from 1 species